UUGGCCUUGAAUCAAGUCUAGUGACUUGGAGUAGUCACCAGAUUCAAACAAGAGCCAAAAGAAUCAUCUUCUUAUGGUCUGUUGGCAGUUUCACAUUUCCUGAAGAGACUUCCAAUUCGUUAAGAAGAAACAGAG